GAGGGAUGUGAGGAGAAGAUAAAUCUGCAUUCUACCGCUGCCUCUGGUCAGAGACAGUUGGAGCUUCAGAGAAGCAGCAUCACUGGCUGGAGACCUCAGCAUCACAAAUAGAAAACACAUCCAGCUGCAAAAAAAGAAAAGGCUGCAGACUGAUAUUUGAGAUUGCAAGAGAAGAAAGAGAAGAGAAGAGAAGAUCAGCUGGACUCGACAAAGACAAAGCUAUGCGGCCGCGGUCCAGACUGCUGUCAAGAGAAGACUCCUGCUGCCCACGAUCAGAGAGGGGCACUGAGGAGAUGGUUGAAGGAUCUGAAUGAGGCCAACGCGCUCCACAUCGCCGGCCACGGCCAGGCUGUCUCCUCGGAGGACUACCUCCUCUCCAUCCUGCCACCUGGCCCACCCCACCUUCCCACCAGGGACGUCUCCGCCGACAACACCCACCACCAGAGGCCGCCGGGCCUGUCACGGCUCGCCGGGACCCGCAUCGACUAUCUUCGAAUUCACCCCGCGGAGGAAGCACGUGCCGUCGAUACGCAGCAGAGAGAGGAGAAAGAGCUGAAUGGCGAGCUGACCUUUGGCCACUCUGACCCUAUGGAGUAUCUUUACGGACACCAGAACAACCUCUCGGGGGGCGCGAGAAGGGCGUUUGUCGCGGAGAGGUUUAUAAGGCGACAUGGGAAGCGUAUGGGAGGGCCAGGCUCGCUCCAGAGCUCACAGCAUCCCCCGCGCUUCAAGUCCUGACCUCCCACGCCAACGCAAAGAGCAGCUGCCCCGAGGUUACACACCAGCACUGACACUUCCGUUCCGAACAUGUCCCCAAAGCACAGCUUCUCCAGGUUGGAGGCGAGGAGAGGGAGCCCACCGGAGACAGGAGAGACAGAGUCCAACCGUCAAAACAGUCCCUCAUCUCCCAGUGGAUCUCUGACUGCAGGUCGGCGUGGAGGGAAGCACGUGUACGAGCCUGCAUGCUGCCUGCCAUCGCUGAGAUAUAGUGCGCAAACGGACAUUGUGACAGAAGACAUUCCUCUUUCUCUGUCAGUGCAUGAGACAUUGACGUUAGAUGUGUAUUAUGAUAUAUUACAGGGAUAUGAUUAAAUACACAUUUGAAGACAUACAGAGGUUGUCCAUCUGUAAUGUUAUAUCAGUCAUUAUUUAAAGUUACCGACACUCGAUGUAUGCUGGUGAUCAUACAAAAUCCUAAAAAUCUGCAAAAUCUUUUUGUACUUUUCUUGUGUUUUGUGAACUAAGUAUGAAACAAUAAAACGUUGUUUUUUUUAUACUCUCAA